rnacentral:rRNA from 1 species
GACGAACGCUGGCGGCGUGCUUAACACAUGCAAGUCGAACGGAAAGGCCCUGCUUUUGUGGGGUGCUCGAGUGGCGAACGGGUGAGUAACACGUGAGUAUCCUGCCCUUGACUUUGGGAUAACUCCAGGAAACUGGGGCUAAUACCGGAUAGGAGCUCCUGCUGCAUGGUGGGGGUUGGAAAGAUUCGGCGGUUGGGGAUGGACUCGCGGCUUAUCAGCUUGUUGGUGGGGUAGUGGCAUACCAAGGCUUUGACGGGUAGCCGGCCUGAGAGGGUGACCGGCCACAUUGGGACUGAGAUACGGCCCAGACUCCUACGGGAGGCAGCAGUGGGGAAUAUUGCACAAUGGGCGGAAGCCUGAUGCAGCAACGCCGCGUGCGGGAUGACGGCCUUCGGGUUGUAAACCGCUUUCGCCUGUGACGAAGCGUGAGUGACGGUAAUGGGUAAAGAAGCACCGGCUAACUACGUG